rnacentral:tRNA from 1 species
GUUUUUAUAGUUUAAAAUAAAACAUUGGUCUUGUAAACCAAAAUUAAAAAUUUUUUUUUAAAAACU